UACAGAGGUCCCGAGCGUUGUUCGGAUUCACUGGGCGUAAAGGGUGCGUAGGUGGUGAGGUAAGUCGGAUGUGAAAGCUCGGAGCUCAACUCCGAAAUGGCAUUGGAAACUACCCUGCUAGAGGAUUGGAGGGGGGACUGGAAUACUUGGUGUAGCAGUGAAAUGCGUAGAUAUCAAGUGGAACACCAGUGGCGAAGGCGAGUCCCUGGACAAUUCCUGACACUGAGGCACGAAAGCUAGGGGAGCAAACAGG
rnacentral:rRNA from 1 species